rnacentral:rRNA from 1 species
AUUGAACGCUGGCGGCAGGCCUAACACAUGCAAGUCGAGCGGAUGAGGGAAGCUUGCUUCCCGAUUUAGCGGCGGACGGGUGAGUAAUGCCUAGGAAUCUGCCUAUUAGUGGGGGAUAACGUCCCGAAAGGAACGCUAAUACCGCAUACGUCCUACGGGAGAAAGUGGGGGAUCUUCGGACCUCACGCUAAUAGAUGAGCCUAGGUCGGAUUAGCUAGUUGGUGAGGUAACGGCCCACCAAGGCGACGAUCCGUAGCUGGUCUGAGAGGAUGAUCAGCCACACUGGAACUGAGACACGGUCCAGACUCCUACGGGAGGCAGCAGUGGGGAAUAUUGGACAAUGGGCGAAAGCCUGAUCCAGCCAUGCCGCGUGUGUGAAGGCCCUCGGGUUGUAAAGCUCUGUCGGGAGGGACGAACGGUCUCGGGUAACGCCGAGGGUUGACGGUACCUCCAAAGGAAGCACCGGCUAACUCUGUGCCAGCCGCCGCAGUAAUAC